rnacentral:rRNA from 1 species
ACACGACUACAUUAGAUACCCCGGUAGUCCUAGCCGUAAACGAUACUCGCUAGGUGUCGGCCACGGUGCGACCGUUGUCGGUGCCGUAGGGAAGCCGUGAAGCGAACCACCUGGGAAGUACGGCCGCAAGGCUGAAACUUAAAGGAAUUGGCGGGGAGCACCACAACGGGUGGAGCUUGCGGUUUAAUUGGAUUCAACGCCGGAAAUCUUACCGGGACCGACAGCAACAUGAAGGCCAGGCUGAAGACUUUGCCGGAUUAGCUG